rnacentral:tRNA from 1 species
GGGGCCUUAGCUCAGUUGGUAGAGCGCAACACUGGCAGUGUUGAGGUCAGCGGUUCGACCCCGCUAGGCUCCACCA